GGACUACUAGGGUUUCUAAUCCUGUUCGCUCCCCUAGCUUUCGCAUCUCAGCGUCAGUUACCAGCCAGGACACUGCCUUCGCCUUUGGUAUUCCUCCGGAUAUCUACGCAUUUCACCACUCCACCCGGAAUUCUAUGUCCCUCUCUGGUCCUCAAGUUCCGCAGUUUUCAGAGGCCUUGCCCGGUUAAGCCAGGCACUGUCACUCCAAACUUACCAAACCGCCUGCAUGCGCUUUACGCCCAAUAAAUCCGGACAACGCUUGCCCCCUACGUAUUACCGCGGCUGCUGGCAC
rnacentral:rRNA from 1 species